UACGGAGGGUGCAAGCGUUGCUCGGAAUUAUUGGGCGUAAAGGGUAGGUAGGUGGUCUCGUUUGUCUGGGGUGAAAGCCCGGGGCUUAACUCCGGAAGUGCCUCAGAAACGGCGAGACUAGAGUCCUGGAGAGGGUCGUGGAAUUCCCGGUGUAGCGGUGAAAUGCGUAGAGAUCGGGAGGAACACCAGAGGCGAAAGCGUCGACCUGGACAGGUACUGACACUCAACGACGAAAGCGUGGGGAGCAAACAGG
rnacentral:rRNA from 1 species